rnacentral:rRNA from 1 species
CGGAGUUAGCCGGGGUUUCUUUACCAGGUACUGUCAUUAUCAUCCCUGGCGAAAGAGCUUUACAACCCUAAGGCCUUCAUCGCUCACGCGGCAUGGCUCGGUCAGGCUUGCGCCCAUUGCCGAAGAUUCCCCA